rnacentral:rRNA from 1 species
AGACCCGAAACCCGGUGAUCUAGCCAUGGGCAGGUUGAAGGUUGGGUAACACUAACUGGAGGACCGAACCGACUAAUGUUGAAAAAUUAGCGGAUGACUUGUGGCUGGGGGUGAAAGGCCAAUCAAACCGGGAGAUAGCUGGUUCUCCCCGAAAGCUAUUUAGGUAGCGCCUCGUGAAUUCAUCUCCGGGGGUAGAGCACUGUUUCGGCAAGGGGGUCAUCCCGACUUACCAACCCGAUGCAAACUGCGAAUACCGGAGAAUGUUAUCACGGGAGACACACGGCGGGUGCUAACGUCCGUCGUGAAGAGGGAAACAACCCAGACCGCCAGCUAAGGUCCCAAAGUCAUGGUUAAGUGGGAAACGAUGUGGGAAGGCCCAGACAGCCAGGAUGUUGGCUUAGAAGCAGCCAUCAUUUAAAGAAAGCGUAAUAGCUCACUGGUCGAGUCGGCCUGCGCGGAAGAUGUAACGGGGCUAAACCAUGC